CCUACGGGAGGCUGCAGUGAGGAAUAUUGGUCAAUGGGCGGAAGCCUGAACCAGUCAAGUCGCGUGAGGGAAUAAGGCCCUACGGGUCGUAAACCUCUUUUGCCGGGGAGCAAGGGCGGGGACGUGUCCCGGCCCGGAGAGUACCCGGAGAAAAAGCAUCGGCUACCUCCGGGCCAGCAGCCGCGGUAAUACGGAGGAUGCGAGCGUUAUCCGGAGUUAGUGGGUUUAACGGGUGCGAAGGCGGAUCGUUCAGUCAGUGGUAAAAUUGAGGGGCUAAACCACUUCCCGCCAUUGAAACUGGCGCUCUUGAGUGGAAGAGAAGUAUGCGGAAUGCGUGGUGUAGCGGUGAAAUGCAUAGAUAUCACGCAGAACCCCGAUUGCGAAGGCAGCAUGCCGGCUUCCGACUGACGCUGAAGCACGAAAGCGUGGGGAUCGAACAGGAUUAGAUACCCGUGUAGUC
rnacentral:rRNA from 1 species